ACUACAGUUUUCCCACCCUCUAG
rnacentral:misc_RNA from 1 species